GACGUAGGGCGCGAGCGUUGUCCGGAUUUAUUGGGCGUAAAGAGCUCGUAGGCGGCUUGUCGCGUCGAAUGUGAAAUCCCGAGGCUCAACUUCGGGCUUGCAUUCGAUACGGGCAGGCUAGAGUUCGGUAGGGGAGACUGGAAUUCCUGGUGUAGCGGUGAAAUGCGCAGAUAUCAGGAGGAACACCGGUGGCGAAGGCGGUUCUCUGGGCCUGUUCUGACGCUGAGGAGCGAAAGCGUGGGGAGCGAACAGG
rnacentral:rRNA from 1 species